ACAUGAAUAAAUUUAGUGAAAGAUAGAGAAAAUCCAUGUGCUAUUGUCCAAAAUUUUGAACUUUUAAUCGUGAAUAUUUUUAAACAUAUAAGGCAUUUUUAUAUUAUUUUUAGAUUUUACUCCUCUGCAAAAGCUUCCUUAUCCGCACAUAUCCCAUUUACAGGGAAAUUCUGUUUUUUUACCCCUCCGCCAAAGUAAUCAGAAUCGUGCCAAUCUCACACAAAAAUAUAUGUAUACUAUGCAUGAACAUAAUCUUUUUGACGUUAGCCAAUACUGCUGAAAUCUACAAAUCAUUUACUGUGAAGCAAUGUCAUCUGAACCGGUGUGUAUGCCAGUAAUGACAUUGACGAACUCGCCGUCAGUGUCGCCAUUGCGUAGCUCAA